AACAAGUGAUGCUGUUAUGUUCCGGGCUUCUCUGGUUCUCUUGGUGGCGUUUUUUCCUGUGCGCCUUUUCCACCUCUUACCACCAGAUGGCGACAGGUUCCGGUUGGAGUGCGGUGGUGUCAUCAUCAUCCACAGCUGUCAUCAAUUACCCUCAUCAGCGGAGCAUACUUAAGGAGUUGACCGCCAGUCCAGCGUCGCCUGAGUGUUUGCCAGUCACGGUACCUCUGAGCCCCCUUGAGCCCUGUCUCUGUGUUCCUCGUUGCCUUGAGCCUUCCAGUGAUUCUCUUUGUGUUUUCUCUGUUGCCUUCAGGUGAUCCCUUUGACACUCUGGACCCGCUGAUUAGACCCUGGCAGUUUUCCUGGUUUCAGAACCUCCCUCGUGACGCCGUGGAAAAUACCCACUGGUUGCCCGAGUUCCCAGACUCACCUCUCCGUUGUUUUGCAAGUAUCUCCUGGACCCCACGGCUGGCGGUCGAACCACUCCGCUGUGUCUCCGUUGCACCCGAGCCUACCUGUCCGUUCUCCGCCGCACUCCUCCGUUGUUCCUGGACCCACUGAGAGUCCGAGACUCUGGACAUACUCAGUUACCCUCCAAGGUUCAGAUCCAACCACCACCAAGUAAGAACAACCUGCGUUUGAUCUGAGAUUUCCAUGUUCCCACGACCCCUGAACUCACCAGUCUGCUCUUUCCCCUCGCAGUGAACCACUGCUGCCCGUUACCGUUGAUUCCCUGGACCAGACCACCUUGCCACACUCUGAUAAUUGUGUAAUCUUAAUAAAUCACUUAAACUGA